UACGAAGGGGGCUAGCGUUGUUCGGAAUCACUGGGCGUAAAGCGCACGUAGGCGGAUCUUUAAGUCAGGGGUGAAAUCCGAGGCUCAACCUCGGAACUGCCUUUGAUACUGGGGAUCUCGAGUCCGGGAGAGGUGAGUGGAACUGCGAGUGUAGAGGUGAAAUUCGUAGAUAUUCGCAAGAACACCAGUGGCGAAGGCGGCUCACUGGCCCGGUACUGACGCUGAGGUGCGAAAGCGUGGGGAGCAAACAGG
rnacentral:rRNA from 1 species